CAAAAGGGCGCAAGCUGAGCAGCCUGUCGCUGUAUAAAAAAGCCUUUGGGUUUUAAAGUAUUUUUGCGGGGAGGAAGGCGGUGCGGUAAAACCGCGCCGAUAGACGUUAUCCGCAAAAAAGCACCGGCUAUCUCUGUGCGAGCAGCCGCGGUAAUACGGAGGGUGCAAGCGUUAAUCGGAAUUACUGGGCGUAAAGCGCACGCAGGCGGUCUGUUAAUCAGAUGUGAAAUCCCCGGGCUCAACCUGGGAACUGCGUUUGAAACUGGCAGCUUGAGUCUCGUAGAGGGGGGUAGAAUUCCACGUGUAGCGUGAAAUGCGUAUAGAUCUGAGGAGUACCGUGGCGAAGCGCUCCUGUACAAGACUGACGCUCAGUGCGAAGCGUGUGGAGCAAACAGGAUAAAUACCUGGAGUCUACCCGUAAACAUGUCGACUGAAGUGUUUCCUUGAAGAGUG
rnacentral:rRNA from 1 species